GGAGGAGAGGGAGGGGUGGGGAGAACGCGCGGUGCCUGUUGGGCCAAAUUACCUCAAGAUGGCUCUAGCUGAUGUGCGACAAGGUAACCUCAAGCCAAAGAGCGGGUAUAAGAAUGGAGAAGUCAUCAGGAGCACAGACUUCACAAACAAUGGAACAUAAGAAGGGAGACAAUUGUGUCCAGUGAAUCUUAAAAUUGUUCAAACAGAAAUAUCUUCUGACAACAGUUUCAGGUGACAAGUAUUUUUCAUUUUUAUGUUAAAAAUCUUAUAUAUAUGCUUUUAUAUUAUUUGACAUAA
rnacentral:lncRNA from 1 species